rnacentral:rRNA from 1 species
GGGUUGUGAGGUUAAGCGACCAAGCGUACACGGUGGAUGCCCUGGCAGUCAGAGGCGAUGAAGGACGUGCUAAUCUGCGAUAAGCGCCGGUAAGGUGAUAUGAACCGUUAUAACCGGCGAUUUCCGAAUGGGGAAACCCAGUGUGACUCGUCACACUAUCAUUACGUGAAUACAUAGCGUAAUGAAGCGAACCGGGGGAACUGAAACAUCUAAGUACCCCGAGGAAAAGAAAUCAACCGAGAUUCCCCCAGUAGCGGCGAGCGAACGGGGAGGAGCCCAGAGCCUGAAUCAGCAUGUGUGUUAGUGGAAGCGUCUGGAAAGGCGCGCGAUACAGGGUGAGAGUCCCGUACACAAAAGCGCAUAUGCUGUGAGCUCGAUGAGUAGGGCGGGACACGUGGUAUCCUGUCUGAAUAUGGGGGGACCAUCCUCCAAGGCUAAAUACUCCUGACUGACCGAUAGUGAACCAGUACCGUGAGGGAAAGGCGAAAAGAACCCCGGCGAGGGGAGUGAAACAGAACCUGAAACCGUGUACGUACAAGCAGUGGGAGCCCCACCACUAAGCCAGUGGUGAACUCCACAUACGCAUCCUUUGCGGAAGGUGCGGUUAACGGAGCGUAAGCGACGUUUAACCUCAAAAAAAGCAGAGGGGGCUUAGUGGUGGGGUGACUGCGUACCUUUUGUAUAAUGGGUCAGCGACUUAUAUUCUGUAGCAAGGUUAACCGCAUAGGGGAGCCGAAGGGAAACCGAGUCUUAAU